GGGCUCCUUGAGCAGAGUUUUGCCCAAGUGGGGUUCAUGAGGGAGGAUGGAGUUUCUUGGGACCACUCAGACCACCAGUUACUGUGGUCCCAAGAAAUGCUGUGGUUUGACCUCACUGCCAGCUGUACAGGCGCCAGUGAUCCAGGAGUGCUGUCAGCCCUACCACCUGCCCGGGUACCACUACCUCAAUUCUCAGAGGCCUAGCCUCUUCUACAAGACAGCCAAUGUCCAGACCUGCCCGGACGAGAGCACCAGUACCCUGCGGCCGCCCACCGUCCUGCCCGCGCUGCGCUCAGCACUCUUCUCUCGCUAUAGCACCCACGACUGGGACCAGUCCAACCAGCUGCAGGUGCGUGGGGCCGAGGACUCCCGGCUGUGGGCCAGCCGGCUGAUGGACGACUCCAUGAGGCUCUUGCAGGAGAAGGACCAGCUGACGCACCAGAUGCAGGAGGGCACCUCCUGGAACCUGGGCCAGAGGCUGUCAGACAUCGGCUUCUGGAAGUCGGAGCUGAGCUAUGAGCUGGACAGGCUUCUUACUGAGAACCAGAACUUGGAGACAGUCAAGAGGCGGCUGGAGUGCGCGGCCGGUGAGGUGAACUGCCCAUUGCAGGUGGCCUUGGAGUGUCUGUACCAACGAGAGAAGAGGAUGGGAAUUGAUUUGGUCCAUGACAACGUGGAGAAAAACCUUAUCCGGGAAGUGGAUUUGCUAAAAUGUUGCCAAGAACAGAUGAGAAAAUUAGCUCAAAGAAUUGAUAUCCAGAUGCGAGAUAACCGAGAUGCUCAGCACGCACUGGAGAAGGACCUCGAGGACAAAAGGUCGGCCCAGUGCAUCGAUGAGAAGUGCUUUAACCUGAGAAAUACAUCAGACUGCAUCAGCUUCUUCCACGGCAUGGAGAAAAUUGAUGGCACGAUCUCCGUACCCGAGACCUGGGCCAAGUUCAGUAACGACAACAUCAAACACUCUCAGAACAUUCGGGCCAAGUCCAUCCGGCUGCGGGAGGAGGCGGAGCACCUCUUUCAGACCUUGUCGGAUCAGAUGUGGAGGCAGUUCACAGACACCAACCUGGCCUUCAACACCCGCAUCUCCGAGAUGACGGAUGUGAAGAAUAAGCUGCAGACACAGCUGGCAAAGACGCUGCAGGAGAUCUUCCAGGCCGAGAACACCAUCAUGCUGCUGGAAAGAUCCAUCAAGGCCAAGGAGGGCCCAUUGAAGGUGGCCCAGACGAGGCUGGAGUGCCGGACCUGGCGCCCCAACAUGGAGCUGUGCAGGGACAUCCCACAGUUCAAGUGAAUAAUCUCCCAUUUUGUGGCUCGAUUACACUGUGCUUAUCCACUCAUCCAUCCAUCCAUGGACAUUUGAGCUGCUUCCACCUUUUGGCUAUUGUCAAUAGGGCUGCUGUGAACAUUCAUGUACACAUUUUGGUUUGAACAACUGUUUUCCGUUCUUUUGGGUACAUACCCAGGAGCAGAACUGCUGGACUGUAUGGCUGGUGAACGAGGUGUUCACCAUCGACGACACCCUGCAGACCCUCAAGCUGCGGCUGCGGGAGACGCAGGACACACUGCAGCUGCUGGUCAUGACCAAGUGCCGGCUGGAGCACGAGCUCGCCAUCAAAGCCAACACCCU